rnacentral:rRNA from 1 species
GGAUGCGAUCAUACCAGCANNAAAGCACCGGAUCCCAUCAGAACUCCGAAGUUAAGCGUGCUUCGUAAUAACUUCGCAUAUC